rnacentral:misc_RNA from 1 species
UUUCCGUAGGUGAACCUGCGGAAGGAUCAUUAUUGAAUACGAUUGGUACUGAUGCUGGCUCUUCACUGAGCAUGUGCUCGUCCAUCUAUUUAUCUAUCUCUUGUGCACCUUUUGUAGUCUGCAGAGUUUUAAGGGUCUGGUCGGAGCCAAGGCUUCGGUCCAUUUCAAAGGACUCCGCGCUUCGCAGGCUAUGUUUUUAUACACCUUUAAAAAUGUAUUAGAAUGUUUCAUUAUUGACUGAAAAGUCAGUAAACUCAAUACAACUUUCAGCAACGGAUCUCUUGGCUCUCCCAUCGAUGAAGAACGCAGC